AUACGGAGGAUGCGAGCGUUAUCCGGAUUUAUUGGGUUUAAAGGGAGCGUAGGUGGACAGUUAAGUCAGUUGUGAAAGUUUGCGGCUCGACCGUAAAAUUGCAGUUGAUACUGGUUGUCUUGAGUACAGUAGAGGUGGGCGGAAUUCGUGGUGUAGGGGUGAAAUGCUUAGAUAUCACGAAGAACUCCGAUUGCGAAGGCAGCUCACUAGACUGUUACUGACACUGAUGCUCGAAAGUGUGGGUAUCAAACAGGAUUAGAUACCCUGGUAGUCCACACAGUAAACGAUGAAUACUCGCUGUUUGCGAUAUACAGUAAGCGGCCAAGCGAAAGCAUUAAGUAUUCCACCUGGGGAGUACGCCGGCAACGGUGAAACUUAAAGGAAUUGACGGGG
rnacentral:rRNA from 1 species